UACGUAGGGUGCGAGCGUUAAUCGGAAUUACUGGGCGUAAAGCGCGCGUAGGUGGCUAGAUAAGUCGGAUGUGAAAGCCCCGGGCUUAACCUGGGAACUGCAUUCGAUACUGUCUGACUAGAGUAUGGUAGAGGAAAGCGGAAUUCCCGGUGUAGCGGUGAAAUGCGUAGAUAUCGGGAGGAACAUCAGUGGCGAAGGCGGCUUUCUGGACCAAUACUGACGCUGAGGCGCGAAAGCGUGGGUAGCAAACAGG
rnacentral:rRNA from 1 species